GGUAGCAACCCCCGCUCCGCUUUAUUCUGCACAGAUGCCCAUGCUCCUCCGUAGUACGAACACCCCCUAAACCCCCACCUCCGAACUCCACUCGCGUCGCAACCGCCUUCGCCGCCCGGUGAAGUAGAGGAGAUGGUAAGUGAAGCAUUUGAUUUGAAUGAGCAACCACACGACAAUCGAGGUGGCAGCUUGAACUAUGUGUUGCUGCAAAAGGAUUCUAAGAACAUAUGCCGCACCAAAGUUUGUGAUCUUCCCAUAGAAGUGCCCUUCAUUUGGUCAAUUAUUUCAUUUGUGCCAACUAAGGCAUACCAACGGCGUGAUUUCCCAAAAUUUUCACUGCUUCCUGAUCCAGAAGACGGUCGCCAGAAAUAUGAAUGGGGAAAGUUCAUGCGACACCUUUCGGAUAAUAAGAAGGCUGGUAUUGUUAGAUGCGGGUCCUCAACUUUCCACAUUCUUGCUCCUCAACCUGAUGAACGCCCAAACUUUUCGCAUGCGGUGCUCAUGUACGAGUGUGGACAAAAUGGUCCUGGGGAUUUCAAAUGGAUGGCAGGAUUAUCUGAGGGACAUUUGAAUAGCCCUGCAAGGAAUGUUUCAAAGAGUUCUUGCAAAAGUGAAUUCCAAUAUGGCUCCAGGAAUCCUAAGCCGCAAUACUUUAAGGAGGAGAUUUGUGAUAGUGGACCAAACCCCAAGGAGAUGGAAACUUCACGUAAACAUCAUGAUCGACAUACCACAGAAGUUCCAGAAUCCUCACCAUGCGAGUCUGGUGAAGAGGGCCCUAGAGUUUUGAAUCCAAUAGAGAAAAAGAGAACAGAUUGUCCUACAAAAAAUUUCAUCAGUGCAGACCCCAGUUAUCUGCGAACACUUAGUCAAACACAUGCUGGCUGGAUCUUUGGGGCAAUAGCAGAGCUUAUUGAUAACUCCAGAGAUGCAGGUGCAUCUAGGUUGAGUAUUUCCAUUGAAUCUUUGUUUUCGAAGAAAGCACAAAGAAAAAUUCCUGUCUUAUCUGUAAUUGAUGAUGGAUAUGGAAUGACUUAUGCUGAUAUGAUGAGAAUGAUCUCUUUUGGUCACAAACGACCAAACGGACAUUGCAAGGAUCAGGUUGGGAGAUUUGGAAUCGGAUUUAAGACUGGUGCUAUGAAGCUUGGAAAAGAUGCAAUUGUGCUUACACAAACUUCAUCCUCCAGAUCAGUGGCCUUUCUUUCUCAGUCUUUUAAUGAAGAGAAGGAUAAUCUUGAGAUCCCUGUGGUGGCAUAUCGUAAGGAAGGGCAAUACAUGGAAGUUGAUUUGAGUGUCCAGUCUGAAGCAACUGCCGAAUAUAACCUGAAUGCUAUCAAGGAAUUUUCUUCCUUUAAUGAGUAUUUCAUUGGAGAAAAACUAGGGCUAUUUGGUGAAGAUCGGACUGGGACACAGAUCUAUAUAUGGAAUUUAGACAAAUGGGGUACAGAUUACACUUUGGAAUGGAAUUCUGGGAAGUCUUCUGAAAAUCCUGUGCAUAAUGGUCGUGGGGACAUAUUAAUUCGUUCGAGAAGAGCCAGAUCACGUCCAGGACAAACAAGUAACAAGGUGCUGUUGGACUAUUCUCUCCAAUCCUAUUUGGAAGUUAUGUUCCUGAAUCCUCGGAUGCAGAUAUCUGUCCAAGGGUCUUUGGUCAAAAGCCGCCCAUUGGCAAAGACCCUUAAUAAGACUUCUGUUAUGUCUGGUGAAAUUAUGGGAAGGACUAUUCUAUUGACCCUGGGAAGGAGCAAGGUAGAAUGGGACAGAAUGAAUUGCGGAAUCUUCUUGUAUUGGCAUGGUCGUCUAAUAGAGUCUUACAAACGAGUUGGAGGCCAAAAGCAUUGUGCUGACACGGGACGCGGAGUAAUAGGAGUUGCAGAUAUUACAAAUCUCAUUGACGAUGAAGAUGGUAAUUCAUGGGUUCUCAACAACAAACAAGGAUUUCAAGAUUGUGAAAUGUAUGCCAAACUGGAGGAGUGGCUUGGUAGGAAAGUGGAUGAAUACUGGGAUACUAAUUUUGACAAUCUUGAAUUGAGAAAAGGGAAUGAGCGCUACAAGGCUGAUCAGGACUGGGUUCAAUGCUACAGCUGUCGUAAGUGGAGAAUGUUGAAUUCAGGCUUCAAUAUAGACACUCUUCCGGAUGAAUGGUUUUGCUACAUGUCACCCUUCAAUGGGAAAUGUGAGGUUCCAGAGCAACAAAUGGGACGAGGUGUCAUUGUGAUAGGUGAGAAGAGAUCUGGUUAUGAUGAACAAAAUAAGGUUGCCCAGCAAGGAGAGACAACAAAGAAGGAAAUGACGUCUGAGAACGUUGAGGUUCAAAGGACUAGUCAAGAUGAAGAUGUGAAGAAUGUCCAGGGUAUCCCAACGAUUGGCAACAAGCAAAAGAAAUCUUCAAAUGGCACCCCACCAAUGCACAAGAACAACAGCGAAGAUGAUCUUGAAGGUGCGUCCUCACAAACUGAUGAUAAGGCCCCACGCCCCACUUUGAAGAGGCUAAGAAGGGGGCUUGCAAAGUCUUAUAAGCAGUGAGGGAAAAUGAAAAUGCACGCUGGUGUAAUGCUUUUGUUUGGAGCCCGAUGCCUGAUCACUUCGUCAAAUACAUCAUUGGAGGGGCUGCAGCAGUAUGAUUCCAUUGCUUUUGUGUAAUCAAUCAAAUUCAAACACCUACUAUGCGACCUUGUUUGUAAAUAGUGGAUUAGUCGUUUGUCUGUAAGUAGGGGCUCGUCUUAGAGUAGGGCAGCUUCUCAGGUGGUAAAAUGUGUCUGUGAGCCCUCAAUGUUGGAUCGGAUGUGCUUGCAGGCAAAGCAAAUUAUUUUGAUGAUGUGCUCAAGGGCUUCUAUUCGGUGUGCGAGGUUGCAGACCUUAGUUGCCAUAUGACCUGUCCGAGUCUUGCCGCGUGUAAUUUCUUCACUCUAGUACAACUUCUCUACAUUUGCAGCGGUGCUAUUAUGCCUAGCGUCGUAUUCGUUUGACAUUCAAGGCAUCGAUAAUCAGUGACUGCACAAAUUUGAUUAUCAGUUUUCUAAGUACAUCUUAUCAAAUAUUCAAAGAUGUAUAUUGGCAGAGUUAUUUUUUAUAACGAAUCUUUUAAUACAAUUUUCAUUU